rnacentral:rRNA from 1 species
GAUGAACGCUGGCGGCGUGCCUAAUACAUGCAAGUCGAGCGAACAGAUGAGGAGCUUGCUCCUCUGACGUUAGCGGCGGACGGGUGAGUAACACGUGGUUAACCUACCUAUAAGACUGGGAUAACUUCGGGAAACCGGAGCUAAUACCGGAUAAUAUAUUGAACCGCAUGGUUCAAUAGUGAAAGACGGUUUUGCUGUCACUUAUAGAUGGAUCCGCGCCGCAUUAGUUAGUUGGUAAGGUAACGGCUUACCAAGGCAACGAAGCAUAGCCGACCCGAGAGUGAGAUUAACCACACUAGAACUCAGCCACGGUCCAGAGACCUACGAUGGGCAGUAGUGAAGGAGCAUACGCAAUGGGAGAAAGCCUGACAGAGCGCUGCCGAGCGAGUGAUGAAGGACUUCGGAGCGUAGAACUCUGUUAUUAGGGAGGAACGAAUGUGUGAUUAGCUAUGCACGUUUUGACGGUACCUAAUCAGAAAGCCACGGCUAACUACGUG